CAUAUUGUCAACUCUUCUCUCUCUCUCUUUUGUAUAGUUUAAGUUUUGCUUGAAACCACUCUCUCUUCCUCCAAACCUCCUAAACCACAAAAACAAAAGAAAAACACCAAACUUCCCUCCUCAAAUACUCUUCACCAAUCAACAAAAGAAAAAAAUGGUUGAAUUUCAAAAAAGGCCUUCACAUCUCAUUAUGAUAUCUCUUCUUCUUCUUCUUCUAUUUCUCUUCUUCAUUAUUUAUUAUUGCAAUGGUGCCUCACCAACAUCAUCACCUUCUUCUCUUUCUUCUUCUUAUUAUUUCUCCAAUUAUAACAACCCAACACCAACACCAAUAACAACAAAACCCCAUUUCUAUGGCUUCUUCCCCAAAAGAACUAUUCCAAUUCCUUCUUCAACCCCUUCAAGAAAACACAAUGAUAUUGGCUUCCAGACUUGGCCUUCCUCUCCUUAAUCAUCAUCCCAAAAUUGUUAUAUGUUUUCAAAGGUGGAGAGAGAUGAAAUCAUCAUCAUCACACACAUAUAUAUACAUACUCAUUUGUAUAUAUACCCAUAGAGAGAAUUAAAGACACAAGAAUUCUCCCCUGUGUGGUGUAAUGAACCAGAAGUUUAUGGAAAGUUUUAAGUUUGAGUCUCUGAUCUACUCUUACGAAGAAAAGAGAGAUAAUGUCUAUGAUAAACAUUUUAGUUUUUGUGUUAUGUUGUUUCUAUUAGACAUCAUUCCUAUAAUUUAACCUAAUUAAGUGGAUAAUUCAUUUUGGAGUUUU